UGCCCCAUGGCUGAGUUGGUUACAGCGUCCGACUGUUAUUACGUGAUUGGGAGGUUAACACAUCGGAAGGUCGUGAGUUCGAGCCUCACUGGGGCAG